rnacentral:rRNA from 1 species
CGAUUGAGUUUGAUCCUGGCUCAAGAUGAACGCUGGCGGCGUGCCUAACACAUGCAAGUCGAACGAGCAUGUGCAUGAAACCUAGUGAUUGCGCAUGCGAGUGGCGGACGGGUGAGUAACGCGUGGACAACCUGCCGCAUGCAGGGGGAUACCGGCUGGAAACAGCCGCUAAUACCGCAUAUGCGCACAGCGCCGCAUGGCGCAGUGCGGAAAGGGAGCAAUCCCGGCAUGCGAUGGGUCCGCGUCCGAUUAGCUUGUUGGCGGGGCAGCGGCCCACCAAGGCAACGAUCGGUAGCCGGCCUGAGAGGGCGGACGGCCACAUUGGGACUGAGACACGGCCCAGACUCCUACGGGAGGCAGCAGUGGGGGAUAUUGCACAAUGGGGGGAACCCUGAUGCAGCGACGCCGCGUGGGUGAAGGAGUGCUUCGGCAUGUAAAGCCCUAUCGGCAGGGAAGAAGCAAGACGGUACCUGACUAAGAAGCCCCGGCUAACUACGUGCCAGCAGCCGCGGUAAUACGUAGGGGGCGAGCGUUAUCCGGAUUCACUGGG